rnacentral:rRNA from 1 species
UACGUAGGGGGCAAGCGUUGUCCGGAAUCAUUGGGCGUAAAGCGCGCGUAGGCGGCCCGAUAAGUCCGCUGUAAAAGUCAACGGCUCAACUGUUGAAAGCCGGUGGAUACUGUCAGGCUAGAGUACGGAAGAGGCAAGUGGAAUUCCUGGUGUAGCGGUGGAAUGCGCAGAUAUCAGGAGGAACACCUAUAGCGAAGGCAGCUUGCUGGGACGUUUACUGACGCUAAGGCGCGAAAAGCGUGGGGAGCGAACAGG